UUUAUUGAAUUAUAAUUUUUAUUUAUUGAAAUUUUUAAUUUUUAUUUAAGUUAUUUUAAUUUUUUUUUGUUUAGAAUUUUUGAAUGACUUGUUUUUAUUAUAGUUUAUUUUUAAUGUAAGGGGUUUUAUAUAAUGUUUUUUAAGAAUUUUUUGUUUAUUUUACCUUUUGUAUCAGGGUUAAUUAAAUAUAAGUUUUUUAUAAAUUUUUCUCGAAUGGAAAGGAUUUAUAUAAAAGGAUUUUUAUGGUUUCAUAAAUAUUUAAAAUUUUAAUAUGGAAGUGAAAUUCUAUACGUUUUGCAAGAUAUCUAGUUUCUUAAGAUUAAAUUUAAUUUGUAGGGUCUUUUUAAUUUAAUUUUUUUAUUAAGUUUUUAUUAAUUUUCUGUUAUUUCUUAGGGGUUAAGCUCUGAGUUAAAAUUAUAAUUUACUAUUUAUUUAUUUUUAUAUAGGCUUGGGAUUAGCCAUUGUUUUAAGUUUGUAUUAUUUUAUUAUUUUUAUUUAUUAUUUUUUAUUAAGUUUAGGUUUUUUAUUAAGAUUUAAAUUUUAAUUUUUUUUAUUUAGUAGUAAUGAUUAAAUUAGUAUAUAUUUAUUGUAUUUUAUUAAUAAUUUUAAAAAUAUUAUUUAAAGGAAUUCGGCAAUCAUAUUUCCGCUUGUUUAUCAAAAACAUCACUUGUAGAUUUUAAUUAUAAGUAGGGCCUGCACACUGAGGAUUUAAAGAGCCGCGGUAUUUUGACUGUGCAAAGGUAGCAUAAUCAUUAGUAUAUUAAUUGUAUGCUGGGAUGAAAGGUUUGACGAGAAAUAUACUGUCUCUUUUUAAUAUAUAGAAUUUUACUUUUUAGUUAAAAGGGUAAAAUUUUUUUUUUGGACGAUAAGACCCUAUAGAGUUUAAUUUAUUAUUUUAUAUUAAUUUGGGUUAUUUUAUAUUAUUAUAUAAUAUAUAAAUUUAGUUGGGGCGAUUAGAAUAAUAGGUAAACUAUUCAUUAAUUUUUCAUUGAUUUAUGUUUUUUUUGAUCUUUUAUUAUUGAUUUUAAGAUUAAAUUACCUUAGGGAUAACAGCGCAAUCAUCUUUGAGAGUACUUAUUGACGGGGUGGAUUGUGACCUCGAUGUUGGAUUAAGAUAUUAAUUAGGUGAAGAGGCUUAAUUUAUUGGUCUGUUCGACCAUUAAAAUCUUACAUGAUUUCUAUUCAGACCGGCGUGAGCCAGGUUGGUUUCUAUCCAAAAAUUUUUUAAAUUUUCUAGUACGAGAGGACCGUUGAUUUUAAUUAUUUUAUAAUAUUUGAUUAAUAUU
rnacentral:rRNA from 1 species